GACGAACGCUGGCGGCGUGCUUAACACAUGCAAGUCGAACGGAAAGGCCCUGCUUUUGUGGGGUGCUCGAGUGGCGAACGGGUGAGUAACACGUGAGUAACCUGCCCUUGACUUUGGGAUAACUUCAGGAAACUGGGGCUAAUACCGGAUAGGAGCCCCUGCUGCAUGGUGGGGGUUGGAAAGUUUCGGCGGUUGGGGAUGGACUCGCGGCUUAUCAGCUUGUUGGUGGGGUAGUGGCUUACCAAGGCUUUGACGGGUAGCCGGCCUGAGAGGGUGACCGGCCACAUUGGGACUGAGAUACGGCCCAGACUCCUACGGGAGGCAGCAGUGGGGAAUAUUGCACAAUGGGCGGAAGCCUGAUGCAGCAACGCCGCGUGCGGGAUGACGGCCUUCGGGUUGUAAACCGCUUUCGCCUGUGACGAAGCGUGAGUGGCGGUAAUGGGUAAAGAAGCACCGGCUAACUACGUG
rnacentral:rRNA from 1 species